UACAGAGGGGGCAAGCGUUAUUCGGAAUUAUUGGGCGUAAAGGGCGCGUAGGCGGUUUUUUAAGUCAGAUGUGUAAUCCCCGAGCUCAACUUGGGAACUGCAUCUGAGACUGGAAGGCUAGAGUACUGGAGAGGGUGGUAGAAUUCCACGUGUAGCGGUGAAAUGCGUAGAGAUGUGGAGGAAUACCAGUGGCGAAGGCGGCCACCUGGACAGUAACUGACGCUGAGGCGCGAAAGUGUGGGUAGCAAACAGGAUUAGAAACCCCAGUAGUCC
rnacentral:rRNA from 1 species